GACGAACGCUGGCGGCGUGCUUAACACAUGCAAGUCGAACGAAGUGGCGAACGGGUGAGUAACGCGUAAUCAACCUGCCCUUCAGAGGGGGACAACAGUUGGAAACGACUGCUAAUACCGCAUACUGAAGGAGGGGAUUGCGUCGGAUUGGUUAGUUGGAGGGGUAACGGCCCACCAAGGCGAUGAUCAGUAGCCGGUCUUAGAGGCUUAACGGCGAAAGUUGUACUUGUGCACGGCCCAGACUCCUACGGGAGGCAGCAGUUGGGAAUCUUCCGCAAUGGACGAAAGUCUGACCGAGCAACGCCGCGUGAGUGAUGACGGCCUUCGGGUUGUAAAGCUCUGUUAAUCGGGACGCGGUACCGGAAUAGAAAGCCACGGCUAACUACGUGCCAGCAGCCGCGGUAAUAC
rnacentral:rRNA from 1 species